AGAGUUUGAUCCUGGCUCAGGAUGAACGCUGGCGGCGUGCUUAACACAUGCAAGUCGAACGAACCUUCGGGUUAGUGGCGGACGGGUGAGUAACGCGUGGGAAUCUGCCCUCAGGAGGGGGAUAACGGCUGGAAACGGCCGCUAAUACCCCAUAUGCCGAGAGGUGAAAAGAAAUUCGCCUGAGGAUGAGCCCGCGUCUGAUUAGCUAGUUGGUGGGGUAAGAGCUCACCAAGGCGACGAUCAGUAGCUGGUCUGAGAGGAUGAUCAGCCACACUGGGACUGAGACACGGCCCAGACUCCUACGGGAGGCAGCAGUGGGGAAUUUUCCGCGAUGGGCGAAAGCCUGACGGAGCAACGCCGCGUGAGGGAUGAAGGCCUCUGGGCUGUAAACCUCUUUUCUCAAGGAAGAAGACAUGACGGUACUUGAGGAAUAAGCCACGGCUAAUUCCGUGCCAGCAGCCGCGGUAAUACGGGAGUGGCAAGCGUUAUCCGGAAUUAUUGGGCGUAAAGCGUCCGCAGGCGGCCCUGUAAGUCUGUCGUUAAAGCGUGGAGCUUAACUCCAUUUAAGCGAUGGAAACUACAGGGCUUGAGUGUGGUAGGGGCAGAGGGAAUUCCCGGUGUAGCGGUGAAAUGCGUAGAUAUCGGGAAGAACACCAGUGGCGAAGGCGCUCUGCUGGGCCAUAACUGACGCUCAUGGACGAAAGCCAGGGGAGCGAAAGGGAUUAGAUACCCCUGUAGUCCUGGCCGUAAACGAUGAACACUAGGUGUCGGGGGAAUCGACCCCCUCGGUGUCGUAGCCAACGCGUUAAGUGUUCCGCCUGGGGAGUACGCACGCAAGUGUGAAACUCAAAGGAAUUGACGGGGGCCCGCACAAGCGGUGGAGUAUGUGGUUUAAUUCGAUGCAACGCGAAGAACCUUACCAGGUUUGACAUCCUGCGAAUCCCUUGGAAACGAGGGAGUGCCUUCGGGAGCGCGGAGACAGGUGGUGCAUGGCUGUCGUCAGCUCGUGUCGUGAGAUGUUGGGUUAAGUCCCGCAACGAGCGCAACCCACGUCUUUAGUUGCCAGCAUUCAGUUGGGCACUCUAGAGAGACCGCCGGUGAUAAACCGGAGGAAGGUGUGGAUGACGUCAAGUCAUCAUGCCCCUUACAUCCUGGGCUACACACGUACUACAAUGCUACGGACAAAGGGCAGCAAGCUCGCGAGAGUUAGCAAAUCCCAUAAACCGUGGCUCAGUUCAGAUCGUAGGCUGCAACUCGCCUACGUGAAGGAGGAAUCGCUAGUAAUCGCAGGUCAGCAUACUGCGGUGAAUACGUUCCCGGGCCUUGUACACACCGCCCGUCACACCAUGGAAGUUGGCCAUGCCCGGAGUCGUUACUCCAACCC
rnacentral:rRNA from 1 species